UACGUAGGGUGCAAGCGUUAAUCGGAAUUACUGGGCGUAAAGCGUGCGCAGGCGGUUUUGUAAGUUUGUCGUGAAAUCCCCGGGCUCAACCUGGGAAUGGCGAUGAAGACUGCAAGGCUAGAAUCUGGCAGAGGGGGGUAGAAUUCCACGUGUAGCAGUGAAAUGCGUAGAGAUGCGGAGGAACACCGAUGGCGAAGGCAGCCCCCUGGGCUAACACUGACGCUCAGGCACGAAAGCGUGGGGAGCAAACAGG
rnacentral:rRNA from 1 species